UUUGACUUUAUCAAAUCAAAGUUUUGGUUUAUCUACUACUCUAGCCUACACCUAUAAAUACUAGGCAAGGAUUUCAUAUUUUACCACACCAAAAAAUAUUCACACGUGAAAGAGAGAGAAGAAAGAGAGAGAGAGAGAGAGAGAAAGAGGAAAGAGUGUGUGAAAACAGAAAUUUGUCAUACAUCAACUAUCACUGUCGAUCAAUAAAUCGUUCACAGAGUAGAGGAAGGAAUUUUGGAACGUGCAUUCAAAUAUUUUUCGUGUACAUUUCGAUAACAAGAUUAGUUCGGGUCGAUAGGAACAGUGGAGAAUUGGUGAUGCGGACUGCCAAGUGGAUAAAGAAUAGA